rnacentral:rRNA from 1 species
UACGUAGGGCGCAAGCGUUGUCCGGAAUUAUUGGGCGUAAAGAGCUCGUAGGUGGUCUGUUACGUCUGCUGUGAAAACCCAGGGCUUAACCCUGGGCCUGCAGUGGAUACGGGCAGACUAGAGGUAGGUAGGGGAGAAUGGAAUUCCCGGUGUAGCGGUGAAAUGCGCAGAUAUCGGGAGGAACACCGGUGGCGAAGGCGGUUCUCUGGGCCUUGCCUGACACUGAGGAGCGAAAGCGUGGGGAGCGAACAGG